rnacentral:lncRNA from 1 species
CGGAUCACGCCAUGCACAUUUUAUCCACAUCAAGCGCUUAGCUCUUACCACCAGAUCAAGGGAUACAUUGACAGAUCAACCAUUUUAACUGUUGUAUGGACGGCAGGAUUUGGUUCAAUUUUCAGAAUUAGACCAGAAUAAGAAAAGCCAUUUUUAAAUUUGAUAACCUGUCUGUAGGAACAGAAUAUAGAGUUUGAACUUUUCAAAGAAGAUUAAGACAAGUAGCUGAACAACAAGAACUUAGCAUUAAAAUAACUGUGCCAACCACUUAACUAGGCAUGCAACAAUACAACAUCUGAUGCAACCUAAGUACCUAACUAAUAAACUAUCAAUAGUAGAAGCAAAUUAAUUUCUUUGCUUUCCUAGUGUAACCUAAAUUACUUAUCACCAACAUCAGGUGAAGCUAGGCUCUCGUCGUAAGUAACUGCUUGUACUUGAAAACAACGACCUGAUGAAUGAAUCUUCAGGGAUUUGUAUGAAGCAUCCCCCGAGCAGUACACAUUGCAUCUGAACUUAGUUUCACUAAAACUUCAUCAUCAUUCUCUGACACAGAGGUAAAAUAUAACCCUUACGAUCGAAGGGUGACGAGAUAAACCAAUUUAGUCUGAAUUCUCCAUGCCAUAUUCCUUCAUCACCCACAAAUCAGUCCUAUCAACAAUUAACAUCCUUGUUAACUACAGUUUCCAUUUCCACAACUAGGCUACGCCAUUAUCCCAUACGUUACAGUAACCAAAUCCAAAGACAUAAUUUCCGAAGCUAAUUACUUAUCACCAACAUGAGGUGAAGCUAGGCUCUCCACGUAAGUAAGUGCUUGUACUUGAAGACAACGACAUGAUGAAUGAAUCUCCAGGGAGUGUUCCUCGAGUUGUAUAAACUUAUAUCUGUGCCAAGUUUCACUACAACCUCGUCACCAUUCUCUGACACAAACAAAGGAAUGAUAUAACUGUUGGGCUUCAGCACAUUAGUGAGCAUCAGCAUCAGCCCAAGGCAGCUACCGGCCCAAACU